ACUCAAAGGAAUAGACGGGGACCCGCACAAGCAGCGGAGCAUGUGGUUUAAUUCGAAGAUACGCGAAGAACCUUACCAAGGCUUGACAUCCCUUGAAAGAUAUAGAGAUAUAUUCCCCUGUAGCAAUACAGGCAAGGAGACAGGUGGUGCAUGGUUGUCGUCAGCUCGUGUCGUGAGAUGUUCGGUUAAGUCCGGCAACGAGCGCAACCCUUAUGAUAUGUUGCCAAUAUUCAGUUAGGAACUCAUAUCAGACUGCCGUGGAGAACACGGAGGAAGGCGGGGAUGACGUCAAAUCAUCAUGCCCCUUACGUCUUGGGCUACACACGUGCUACAAUGGGCGCAACAAAGAGCAGCGAACAGGUAACUGCAAGCGAAUCUCAAAAAAGCGUUCUCAGUUCAGAUUGAGGGCUGCAACCCGCCCUCAUGAAGCAGGAGUUGCUAGUAAUCGCGAAUCAGAAUGUCGCGGUGAAUGCGUUCCCGGGUCUUGUACACACCGCCCGU
rnacentral:rRNA from 1 species